rnacentral:pre_miRNA from 14 species
AUCAACUGGGGAUCUUGUUAAUUCUGAUUCUGGUAGGGCCCAAGAUUCUGCAUUUCUAACAAGUUCUCAGGGGAAGCU